rnacentral:rRNA from 1 species
CCUACGGGGGGCUGCAGUGGGGAAUAUUGGACAAUGGGGGCAACCCUGAUCCAGCCAUGCCGCGUGUGUGAAGAAGGCCCUCGGGUUGUAAAGCACUUUCAGUGAGGAAGAACGCCUGGUGGUUAAUACCCAUCAGGAAAGACAUCACUCACAGAAGAAGCACCGGCUAACUCCGUGCCAGCAGCCGCGGUAAUACGGAGGGUGCGAGCGUUAAUCGGAAUUACUGGGCGUAAAGCGCGCGUAGGUGGCUUGAUAAGCCGGUUGUGAAAGCCCCGGGCUCAACCUGGGAACGGCAUCCGGAACUGUCAAGCUAGAGUGCAGGAGAGGAAGGUAGAAUUCCCGGUGUAGCGGUGAAAUGCGUAGAGAUCGGGAGGAAUACCAGUGGCGAAGGCGGCCUUCUGGACUGACACUGACACUGAGGUGCGAAAGCGUGGGUAGCAAACAGGAGUAGAUACCCUGGUAGUC